rnacentral:lncRNA from 1 species
GCAAUGAGUUUCGGUGAAAAUCUAAAGAAACGGAUAAGGGAGGAGAGGCAGAGGCUCAAAGUGACGCCCUUGUAUUUGAGUUUAGUCGAGCGAGGAGGGAGAUCGGGAGACGAAUGCCAUUGCCUAGCAUUAGGGGUGUCAGAUUUCGUAGACAUAUUAAAGGGGAGAAACAGCGGAUUGAUUUUCUGAAUUGUUUCGGAAGUGAAUAGGGAUUAAUUUCCCGGCUUCGAUUUCAGAAAAAGAGAUUGGAAGUUAGGAGAUCCAAUGGGCGGCGGCCGCCAUGGUUGCUGCUGCUUUGCGAGUUCCAGCCAGAUGCCCCGAACAGAGGAAGAAGGAGGUGGGACGAUCGGCCGGGCUGGGUGGGCCGGUGGGCAAGAGUUGGGCUUAGUGGGGCACGGGCCAGGAAGAAAAAGGAAAAAAAGAAGAAGGAUGGAUGGUGGGCUUUACCUGCGUAUGUUAGUGCCUAAACAAAAAGGAUCUUGCGCUUCUCUUAAUCAAAUUCAAAUUGUUGACAAGGUCGUAGCGUGCUGCAUUCAGUUGAUCGAGGUUGCGGG